UCAUCCGGUUCUCGUUUAGAUCACCGAAGUCAAGCAUCAUUGGGCGCGGUCAGUACUUGGGUGGGUGACCACCUGGGAACACCGCGUGCCGU